GCUUCUGAGACUUGUUUGGGGAGGUAAAGAGUGUUGGACGUGCUUCUCCUGGUUAAAAUUUGGAGGAUAACUCCCAGCUAGAAAGGAAGAAAAGCUCUAAAGUGGAAUCGCCUUCCCCCGGAAGCUGUUGUAAAAAUUAAAGGAUGUAUGUGAGUGCA
rnacentral:lncRNA from 1 species